GGCACAACUAAGGAAGAUGAUAAUUUUUACAUUCUCUCUCCCACUUUCACAUAUGUAUAUGUACUUAGAUUAAUGUUAAGAUUAAGCUUAAUUAAUCUUAAUUAGUUAAUUAACAUAAAACCAUUUAAUAAUAUAAAUCAUGAUUAUAAUGAUGGAUGGAUUUAAUCAUUCCAUCCCACUAAUUUAAAAUUAUUUGGUCUAAUUGUUUUAUAGUCUCUAGUUUAAUUUCUAACUAGGUUCUUUU
rnacentral:lncRNA from 1 species